rnacentral:lncRNA from 1 species
CCAUCUUAAGCUCCUUAUCUGAUCGAACUAAAACUUAUUUUGCAUCUCCUGUCACAUGGUGAGGCCAAAAACAAUAUCCACAUCUAUGUAACAAACAAAAAACUGAUCAAAUAGAACAAAAGGGAACCAAUCACCAAACCAGAACCGCUUUUCCUUCAAAAAUGGUGAAGAACCACACAAAGAUCCAUCUGAAAUGGAAGUGCAUAAACAAUAAGCAAGGGGAAAGCCCAGGAAGAAGACAAUGACAGUAGAAAAAUAUUAUACUCCCUCUACAAUGCUUCACGUCCAACAACCAGACCAAGAUAGCCCCACCUUAAGCUCCGACUUUGGUAGAAUCAAAACUUAUUUUGUAUCUCCUGUCAAAGGGUGGGACCAAAAACAAUAUACACAUGUACGUAACAAACAAAAAAUAGAUUAAACAGAGCAAAAGGGAACCAAGCACCAAACCAGAACCGCCUUCCCACGAGAACUGGUUAAUUAGAACCCAAAGAUCAAACAUUUGAAGAUUAAAGAGCAUAACAAUAAGCAAAGGGAAAAAGUUCACCUAGAAGAUAAAUCACAAUAGAAAAAUAAUAUACUCCUGUUGACACCCACCAUAAACACUAUACCAAUGGCAGCAUCCAAGAUUGGUCCAUAUCCAAAUAACCAGACCAAGAUAGCCUCACCUUAAAUACCUAACUUUGAUGGAAUCAAAACCAAUUUUGUAUCUCCUGACACAGGGUGAGGCAGAAAACAAGGUCCAAGUCUACGUAACAAAAUAAAACUAUAAUAGAGAGCAAAGAUAACCAAGGAUCAAACCAGAACAGUCUUCCACAGAAGCCUGAUUAAGAAACACACAACGAUCCGGCAUCUGGAAAUUGAAAAGAAUAACGAUAAGCAAGGGAAAGUUUAGGUAGAAUAUAAAAUUUAGUAAAAAAGUUACAAUACUAUACUCCCUAUGCAACCCUUGAUAAACACUAUAUCAAUGACAGCGUCAAAGGUUGCUCCGUGUCCAACAAUCAGACCAAGAUUGCACCACCAUAAGCUCCUACUUUGAUAGAAUCAAAACUUAAUUUAUAUUUUGUGUCAUAGGGUGAUGCAGAAAACAAUAUCCACGCCAACGUAACAAACAAAAAACUGAUGAAAGAGAAAAAAGAUAACAAAGCAUCAAACCGAACAGCCUUCCAAUUAAGAACCACAACGAUCAGAAAUCUGAAAAUUGAAGAGUAUAACGACAAGCACCGGAAACUCUAGGUAGAAGAGAAAAUAUAGUAGAAGAAAAUGUAGUAUAACAAUCUGCAUCCCUCAAUAAACAUUAUAUCAAUUGACAUCUUAUAUUAGUCCGCAUCCAACAACCCCACCAAGUUGGCCCCCACCUUAAGCUCCCACUUUGAUAGAAUAAAACUGAAUUUGUAUCUCCUGUCACAGGGUGAGGGCGAAAAAAAUAUCAAAGUCUACGUAACAAAAAAAAAAAAACUAUAAUAGAGAACACAGACAACCAAGCGUCAAACAAGAACUGCCUUUCAGAGAAGCUUGAUUAAGAACAAAACAGCAACCAAAGAUUUGUCCAUGUCCAAAAACCAGACCAAGAUAGCCCCCACCUUAAGCUCCUACUUUGAUAGAAUCAAAACCUAUUUUGUAUCUCCUGUCACAGGGUGAGGCUGAAAACAACAUCCAAGUCUACAUAACAGCAAAAGAACUAUAAUUGAGAGAGCAAAGAUAACCAAUUAUCAAACCCGAACUGCCUUCCAGUUAAACUUGAUUAAGAACCACAUAAUGAACAGGCAUCUGGAAAUGGAAGAGAGACUAACAAUAACCACAGGAAAGUCUAGAUGGAAGAUAAAUUGUAGUAGAAAAAAAUACUAUAUUAUACUCCCUCUGCCAUCCUCGAUAAACACUAUAAUUGACAGCGUCAAAGGUUGAUCUGUGGCCAAUAUAACUAAACCAAGAUUAGCCCCACCUUGAGCUCCUACUUUGAUAAAAUCAAAACAAAAUUUUUAUCAUCUGCCAUAGGAUGAGGCAGAAAUACAAUAUACACGUAUACGUAACAAACAAAAAAACUGAUGAUAGAGAGAAAAGAUAAACCCAGCAUCAAACCAGAAGUGCCUUCAAGUAAAGAACACCUGGAAAUUGAAGAGUAUAACGAUAAGUAUAGGAAACUCAAGGUAAAAGAGAAAACGUAAAAAAAAAAAAAAUAACUAUACUGUACACCAUCUGCCACCCUCGACAAACACUAUAUCAAUGAUGGCAUCAUAGAUUAGUCCAUAUCCAAAAACCAGACCAAGAUAACCCCCACCUUAAGCUUCAACUUUGAUAGAAUCAAAACCUAUUUUGUCUCCUGGCACAGGGUGAGGACCAAAACAUUGUCCAAGUCUACAUAACAAAUAAACAAUAAUUACAGAGCAAAGGUGACCAAUUAGCAAACCAGAACAGCCUUCCCGUGAAGCUUGAUUAAAAACCACACAGCGAUCAGGCAUCUGGAAAUUGAUGAGAACAACGGUAAGCAUGGGAAAGUCUAGGUAGAAGAUAAAAGAUAGUAAAAAAAAAAAAAACUAUUCUAUACUCUCUUUGCCAGGCCCACACCACUAUAUCAAUGACAGCAUCAAAGGUAGAUCCGUGUUCAAUAACCAGGCCAACAUUAGCCACACCAUAAGCUCCUUCUUUCAAAACUUAAUUUUUAUCUCCUAUCAUAGGGUGAGGCAGAGAACAAUAUCCACGUCUACAUAACAACAAAAAAUUGUUGAAACUGACAAAAGAUAACCAAGAAAACAAGAAGUGCCAUCCAUUAUGGAAAUUGAAGAGUAUAACUAUAAACACGGGAAACUCUAGGUAGAAGAGAAAAUGUAGUAGAAAAAAAAAAUACUAUUAUGUAUUUCCUUUGCGACCCUCGAUUUACAAUAUACCAAUGAUAACAUCAAAGAUCUGUCCGCGUCCAAAAACCAGACCAAGAUAGCCCCCACAUUAAGCUCCUACAGUGAUGGAAUCAAAACCUAUUUUGUAUCUCCUGUCACAGGGUAGGCCCAAAACAAUAUCCAAGUCUAUAUAACAACAAAAGAAAUAUAAUAGAGAGAUCAAAUGCAACCAAUUAUGAACCCAGAACUGCCUUCCAGUUAAGCUUGAUUAAGAACCACACAACGAUCAGGCAUCUGGAAAUUGAAGAGAAUAACAAUAAGCACGGGAAAGUCAAGAUGGAAGAUAAAUUGUAGCAGAAUUAAUACAAUACUAUACUCCCUCUGACACCCUCGAUAAACAUUAUAUCAGUGACAGCAUCAAAAGUUGAUAUGUCUCCAAUAACUAGACCAAGAUUAGCCCCACCAUAAGCUGCUUCUUUCACAACUUAAUUUUUAACCCCUGUCACAAGGUGAGGCAGAAAACAAUAUCCACGUCUACGUAACAAAUAAAAGAUUGUUGAAACUGACAAAAGAUAACCAAGCAUACCAGAAGUGCCUUCCAGUUAAGAACCACACAACAAUCAGACAUCUGGAAAUUGAAGAGUAUAACUAUUAGCACGGGAAACUCUAGGUAGAAGAGAAAAUGUAGUAGAAAAAAAAUACUAUUAUGUACUCCAUGUACUCCCUUUACCACCCACAUUAAACUAUAUCAAUGACAGCAUGAAGGAUUUGUCAGUGUACCAAAAACCAGACCAAGACACGCCCCCACCUUAAGCUCCUACUUUGAUAGAAUCAGAACCUAUUUUGUAUCUCCUAUCACAGGGUGAGGCUGAAACCAACAUCGAGUCUAAAUAACAACAAAAGAACUACAAUAGAGAGAGCAAAGGUAACCAACUAUCAAACCCGAACUGCCGUCCAGUAAGCUUGAUUAAGAACCACACAACGAUCGGGCAUCUGGAAAUGGAAGAGAAUAACGAUAAGCACCGGAAGGUCUAGAUGGAAGAUAAAUUGUAUUAGAAGAAAUACUAUACUAACUCCCUCUGCCACCCUCGAAAAACAUAUCAUGACCAUCAAAGGAUUGAUUGUGUGCAAUAACUGACUAAGAUUAGCCCUACCUUAAGCCCUACUUUGAUAAAAUUAAAACUUAAUUUUUAUCUCAUGUCAUAGGGUGGGGCAGAAAACAAUAUCACGUCUAUGUACAAACAAAAAUUGUUGAAAUGACAAAAGAUAACCAAACAUCAAACCAGAAGUGUCAUCCAGUUAAGAACCACCCCACGAUCAGACAUCUGGAAAUUGAAGAGUAUAUCUAUAAGCACGGGAAACUCUAGGUAGAAGAGAAAAUGUAUAGAAAUAAAAAUACUAUUAUGUACUCCCUUUGCCACCCUCGAUUAACACAAUAUCAAUGACUCAUCAAAGAUCUGUCCGCGUCCAAAAACCAGACCAAGAUAGCCCCCACAUUAAGCUCCUACAGUGAUGGAAUCAAAACCUAUUUUGUAUCUCCUGUCACAGGGUAGGCCCAAAACAAUAUCCAAGUCUAUAUAACAACAAAAGAAUAUAAUAGAGAGAUCAAAUGCAACCAAUUAUGAACCCAGAACUGCCUUCCAGUUAAGCUUGAUUAAGAACCAAACAACGAUCAGGCAUCUGGAAAUCGAAGAGAAUAACAAUAAGCACGGGAAAGUCAAGAUGGAAGAUAAAUUGUAGCAGAAUUAAUACAAUACUAUACUCCCUCUGACACCCUCGAUAAACAUUAUAUCAGUGACAGCAUCAAAAGUUGAUGUCUCCAGUAACUAGACCAAGAUUAGCCCCACCAUAAGCUGCUUCUUUCACAACUUAAUUUUUAACUCCUGUCACAAGGUGAGGCAGAAAACAAUAUCCACGUCUACGUAACAAAUAAAAGAUUGUUGAAACUGACAAAAGAUAACCAAGCAUACCAGAAGUGCCUUCCAGUUAAGAACCACACAACAAUCAGACAUCUGGAAAUUGAAGAGUAUAACUAUUAGCACGGGAAACUCUAGGUAGAAGAGAAAAUGUAGGUAGAAAAAAAAUACUAUUAGUACUCCCUUUACCACCCACUAUUAACACUAUAUCAAUGACAGCAUGAAGGAUUUGUCAGUGUCCAAAAACCAGACCAAGACAGCCCCCACCUUAAGCUCCUACUUGAUAGAAUCAGAACCUAUUUUGUAUCUCCUAUCACAGGGUGAGGCUGAAACCAACAUCCGAGUCUAAAUAACAACAAAAGAACUACAAUAGAGAGAGCAAAGGUAACCAACUAUCAAACCCGAACUGCCGUCCAGUUAAGCUUGAUUAAGAACCACACAACGAUCGGGCAUCUGGAAAUGAAGAGAAUAACGAUAAGCACCGGAAGGUCUAGAUGGAAGAUAAAUUGUAUAGAAGAAAUACUAUACUAUACUCCCUCUGCCACCCUCGAUAAACACACUAUAUAGUGACCACGUCAAAGGAUUGACUUGUGUGCAAUAACUUGACUAAGAUUAGCCCUACCUUAAGCUCCUACUUGAUAAAAUUAAAACUUAAUUUUUAUCUCAUGUCAUAGGGUGGGGCAGAAAACAAUAUCCACGUCUAUGUAGCAAACAAAAUUGUUGAA